rnacentral:tRNA from 1 species
UGGGAGAUCGUCUAACUGGCAGGAUGGCGGAUUCUGAAUCCGUCGAUCGUGGUUCGAAUCCACGUCUCCCAG